rnacentral:rRNA from 1 species
UACGUAGGGGGCAAGCGUUGUCCGGAAUCAUUGGGCGUAAAGAGCGUGUAGGCGGCCAGCUAAGUCCGCUGUGAAAUCUCGAGGCUCAACUUCGAGCUGUCGGUGGAAACUGUCUGGCUAGAGUCCGGAAGAGGAGAAUGGAAUUCCUGGUGUAGCGGUGAAAUGCGCAGAUAUCAGGAAGAACACCCGUGGCGAAGGCGGUUCUCUGGGACGGUACUGACGCUGAGACGCGAAAGCGUGGGGAGCAAACAGG